rnacentral:rRNA from 1 species
UACGUUGGCAGCAAACGUUGUUCGGAAUUACUGGGCGUAAAGAGUGUGUAGGCGGUUUUGUAAGUUUGGUGUGAAAUCUCCCGGCUUAACUGGGAGGGUGCGCCGAAAACUGCAAGGCUAGAGUAUUGGAGAGGAUAGCGGAAUUCCUGGUGUAGCGGUGAAAUGCGUAGAUAUCAGGAGGAACACCGGUGGUGUAGACGGCUAUCUGGACAAUUACUGACGCUGAGACACGAAAGUGUGGGGAUCAAACAGG